GGGAUUUCCCCCGCACGCCCCGGGGAGAGACACGAAAACCACUUCUCCAGCCUCUCUUGCCAUCCCCGGCUGUCCCCCGCCGACCUGUCAUUGCUCUUAAAGGGUUCUCCACUCGUGCACACCUCCCAAGUGAUAACCUCAUUCCGCCUGCUUCCUCCGUGCCCUGGCAUCCUUUUUGUAACGGGCUGUUGGAUUCCUAUUAUUGCCUCCUCUUCGCCGCCUACGGGAUGAUAAACUCCUGGCAAGGAUGCACUGAGGUUGCUGGCAAAGAGAAACUGGGAUGUGCGGAGUGAGGAAGGGGACAGGCUGUGGUUGAUCACUCUGUCGCACGGGAAUCUAUCGGCCUCCUUGUAUUCCUAGGUGUAGUGGGGGAGGAACCAUCCUAUGAAUCCUGGAAGGCUGAGGCAACAGAGCAGAACCACUUGGAUUAAGUAGUAUCUCACAUUCCUGGGGGUCAGGACACCAAGCAAAGCAGAGAUGGGCAUGAGCUGUGCGGGGAGCGGGCCUCUGAAAUUGGAAACAGCACUGGCUGGUGUAAUGUGUGUGUGUUGUGUGUAGAACAGAGAUGGUAUCUAAUGUGGCCAGAGCAUGCAACUAGAGUGCAAGGCAAUCAAGUCGUUUGCACCAUGAGCACUUAAAAGUGAAGUAACCCAGCAGCCCAAAGACCAUGAUACACAAGUCCCUCUGGGGUUUCAGAAAUGAUUCUUUCUCCUUAGAGGUUUACUCAGUUUUUAAAGUAAUUUUUCUGUGUGAGUGGUGGUGGUGAUGGGGGAAAUUACGUUCCCUUUUUUCAGAAAGAACAAAAUAUCUUCUUUUGUUUUGGUUUUACUGGAAUCAUUCCUGCUUCAGCUUCGGUGCAGGAUUCAUAUACCCAUGAAAAUAAUGAGGAAAUAGCUCUGCAAAAAUGAUUCGAAAUAGGGCUGCAGAGAGAUGCACAGCUAUUUUAUUUUUCCUGCAGGCAUGGAUUUUCAUGGAAACAGUCCAUUCACAUUUAUUUGAGAGAGCUGUGUUUUGCAUGAAAGGCUUCUGUUGACAUUUUCAAAAAUUGAGACCCUUUGCAGAAAUAUCAGAGAAUGACAAUUAUCUCCUUAAUGUGUGAAGUUUAGAUGUAGCUCCAAUCUAGGUUAAGAUCAAAACAAUGUAAAGCUUAUAAUUCAAAUGAUACUAGUGAACGUGUUGGCAAUUAAAAAAACACUUGUGCACACAUAAGGUCACAUUCCCUGUUUUAAAUCAUAGGAUGUGGAUUCUUAAUGUAGGUGUAAAGUCAUCAGGUGAACAUGUAAAAAUAAAUGUUUAUACUUUCUGGCUUAGUUUCUCUACUGCUUAAAAUGGAAGAGCCCACUCAACCAUUCCAAGGCUACUUUGCCUUGCUUUUUUUCAAUACUGUACCAUUAUAAAUGACUUUUCAUUUUAGGUACACACACUCACCCAUAAUUUAAAAAAUUUUAUUCACAUACUAUGUGGAUAGUAGACUCAAAAUAGGAAAAGUUAAUUUUGCAUUUGUUUUGAUAGAGAUCCUGAUGUGAGAUGUGAAAUGUGAAAUUUUGUUUAUAGAAGUUUUGUUGAUGAAUCCUGAUUUUAAGGUGGAUACACUGUUAUUGUUUAUCCUGUUUUCUUGUAGAAUAUUAUUGGCAUGAAAGGCAUUAUACAAGGUUGGAUUCAACCUUUUGUCAUACAUAAGAUUUUUAUUAUUAGUUAUUUGAGAUAAUCUAUUUUGAUUAUUAGCUUUCUGUGAAAUAAUAUUUCCCCUUGAGUAUGUAUACACGUACUGAAUGAAUGGAAAGUACGCGUAUGCUGGAUGUGAAACAUAUUAACAAGUGAUUUAAUUUGCAAAAAUUAGAUAAUAUGGAGUUUAGAAACCAUUAUUUACUUGAAAUUUUGUUAGAACUUCAUCUCAAUGGCUAUUUAACUCAUUCUUUAAUACAGAAAAGAAAUUAUCUUUGAGGAAGUAUUUGUGCUCCAUAAGUUUUCUCUUUUUUACGAAGUAUGUGUAGUAUUAUUUACUAUAUAUACAUACAAAAAUAAAUAUUCAGAUUGUUAUUACCAUGGCAUGCCAUGGCAUUUGCUUACAGUUAUAUUUAUUAGUGUCAUCUGGCUUUUGUUGUAUAAGAAAUUGCUAUUUACAAAUAAAGAUGUGCUUGUGGUUUGUAGUAA
rnacentral:lncRNA from 1 species